AGCCUGGGCAACAGAAUGAGACCCUGUCUCAAAAACAAACAAAAAGGAUGGGGGGCGGGGGAAAAACCCUUACCAUUACCAUUAUCUGAACCUGGCUUAGGUUAGGAUGUUAGUAACCAUAGUGACCAUAAAACUGCCAGCUCCUCCAUUUAAAAUUUUUAAACCUCUCUGCCCUCACACAUUGUGGUGUGCCCACCUGGGGUGAGUCAUUGAAGGAAGAGGAUUUAUUUAGCCCAUUAUCUCAGCAUGCCAGUUGAGUGGCAUGGCCUCCUGAGCCACCUAUCUUCCUCUGCAUGCUGGGGCCCUCAGAGAGCUCUCUGCACCAAUUUUCAGAGCCAAUCAGAGGGGAUCUGUGUGGUCAUUUGAGCCUGUUCCUAAAGCCCAAAGAGGGCUUUACCAGUGGACAUUUGGUGAUCUCACUGUACUAAAUGCCACCUGUGACCCUACAUGGAGGUUGUUUCUUUUAUCUUUCAAAUAAUUAGUUUGUACAGAUAAAGCCUAAAGGAAUAUCUGGCUUUGGCUGUUUUUGUUUUCUUCUAUAUUUUUUUCUUUUUCUCUUUUGGCUCAGGCCAUCAAAAGCCCACAAAGGUUUGGUCCUUCUCUGCAUCUCCAAGAGGGUUUAUCAACCUUAUCCCAUUCACUAUGGUUCCCAUUCACAGAUGGUUUUCACAAUUCUUAUUUGCAUAACAGUACCAGCUCCUUCAGGGUCCAAGGCAUUGGAUGAACCUUUAGUUGCUUCUCUUCCUACAGUGUUCCUUUAAGAUUUUAAAGGUCAAAAUGAGUAAUUAUAAUCCAAACAUGUUUCCUUACUUUGCCUUGAGGCUAGUUCUGUUUCUUGAAGCUAGGUGCGUAUGAAGCAGCUGGUUCACAAAUCAACCCUUGAAUUCCAAAGCCUACAGCAGCCCUAAAAAUGCAGAUCUCAGACCACACUGCUGGCAGCUGCUGUACUCAAGUUGAAAACUAAAGGUCAGUAGUUGAGGUUGGGACACACGUUAAUAGUUUGACCGAUGAGAAACAGGCUGAUGAUUAUCUCUCUGGGUAAAUUUAGAUAGAGUUGAUUUUCAGGGAACUAUGGCUAUACAGAAUCCUUAAACUUCUGCAUGUGUUAUAUUUAAGGUUCUAUGAAAAACUGUCUUUUUUACUCAGAUUCUAUUAAACUGAACAAGUGCUGAAGUGUGAAAAGUAAGAGGUGUGGCAAUCUAUAGCUGUCCAGAUGCUGUGUGUGAGACGGGCAGUGGGGGUAUCUUGGAUAGCAGCACACCCAAGGGAUGCUGGCCCUCUGAACUCCCCCUCUCCCUACACGCGUGGAUUUUUAUAUGAAUAAAAUCCAUUUGAAAAUGAUCUCAAAGGGAGACCUGGAUGUCAAAGAUGUAAAGAAAUCCCGUGAGGAAAGAGUGAAGGAUAUAUGUGGAGGGUAGACACAUUGACUGCACCUUGUUGAAGGGGUUACAGAUUCCUUGUGGGUGUAAAAUCAGACAGCCAGCACAACCCAGCUGUCUCUUCUCUUGGCUGUAUUCAUAAGUCAUUGUCCUGCCAAGACAGGGAUAAGAGGGAGGAUGACUCCCACUGUCCAUCCUCCACUGCCUCUUCUAGGAAGCAUGGGAGUUCUGGGUAGAGAAUUCUGCAUUGCACAUGAAUCAAGAGUAACCAAAGGCAAGAUGGAAACAAAUUGUCAAGUUAUGUGUCAUCCUAAUUCUUAUCUUAAUAUCAGCAUAAAUCAGUAGCAGCUCAGCUCUCAUGUACUGUUUUAGAGCAUUCUGGGGCCCAAUUUGAAUUCAAAGAAGUACCUGCUAUACAAUGAAAGAUUCAGUUUAACUGAUGUACUUCAGUCAGUUUUUGGUAGAUCCUGGAAAGUCUUUGAAACAGCCAUAGUUUGGGAAGCUAACUGCAUAGGGACCCAAAUAUGGCUGGAAAAUAUGUGGCUCCCAACCCAGAGGGACACUAAUUCAUUUCAUAAUCUGCUAAGACAGUUGGAAUCUGCUGAACCAUCCACCAACCACCAAUAUUCUCCAUAUCUUCAAGGAAAUUGGAAAAUGUAAGAAAAAUUUGAAUGACUAAUAUAAAAAAAUAAGAGAGGGACAAAAUCUGAAAGACAGUUUCUACCAUUGUAGUCUGGCAUCUUCUUUUCAUUGGUGUAAAACAGAUACCAACAGCAGAGAAGAAAGCUACCAGCCAGUGGCACAUUCCCCUUGGAAAGAACCUUUUUUUUUUUUCUUUUUUUUUUAAGGUGGGUUCUCUGGUUCUUAUGAAUUUAAGAACUCUAGCUAAACAUAAGAUCUGAGAGACAGGAAAACACCUAUUUUCAAAGCUGCAAGAGCUGGAUUAUCACUUUCUAACAUUUUUGCAAUCAAAAAAUUAUCUUUUAAAGAAGUUUACUAAUUUUCAUGGGAUGAUCACAGAUUAGCUGCAAGCAAUUACUCAUGAAAGGGCUUUUAAACAAACCAUAGAUUACCAAUAAAUUGGCUGAAAUGACUUCAUACUAAAUGUAAAACAGAUUACCUUUCUAUCUAUAAUUCAGUGUUCAAAAGAAAAUAUUAGUAAGUUAUUCAUAAUAUGUAAUUCAUUUUUAUGUGAGCAUCAGUAAUUCUGACCUACUGGUGGUCCAGAUAAACCCACAUUUAUGAUGUUGUAACUUCAAGUGUCUUUUCAUGGUGUUCUUUUUACAAAAAAAAAAAAAAAAUUAGAAGUAGGGAAGGUCAUAGCUUCUCAUUUUAAACGUGCUCAUUCCUGGGGCUAAGCAUAUGAGAAUUAUAAUCCAACAAACAUCUGUUUCUAAACUACUGAUGCUUUAGCAUGAACCAGAAAUAUAAAUUUUAAUCUGAUGACUGAAAGCAUCCCUUUAACUGUUUUAUUUAUUUAUUUAUUUUUUGAGUAGUCCAGUGGGAUGACAUCUGGAGGAGCUAUGUUUUGUAUUAUUUAUAGAUGUGGACAGUAAGAGCCACAUUUAUGUCGUCAGUGCUGUUUGCCCUCCUUUAAUUUCUCAAAUGACCUAAUUAUAUGUGUUCUCAAUAUGUCUUGGGAGGAAAAUAAUUGCUGAUACUCUCAAAGGCAAAAUGCUGAAUACGUUUCUGUGCUUCUCACAUUCCAUGGCCUGACUGUGGGCAUCAUUAAAGUUACACUUUACCACUCUUCUGGAACGUGGCAUUGAACAUGUCCUAAUGUCUCACAGUGAGAAGUGAAACACUUCCUCUUACUUACAAAGAAAAAUAUCUGAUGUUUUACAGGAUGCCUGACACUAAUGCUUACUAUUCUGCUAUCUCUGAUGUCUUCACUUAUGGAUAUAUUCAUUAACAAGUACUUAUUAACUAUUUAACAUUUCCUCUACUGAGUGUUAUUAAUUACAGAUGCUGUAUUAGUUUCCUAAGUCUGCUGUAACAAAUUACCACAAACUUGGUGACUUAAAACAACAGAAAUUUAUUCUCUCACGGUUCUGGAGACCAGAAGUUCAAAAUACAGCUGGGACCAAAGGCAUCUCUGGGGAAGGAUACAGUCCUUGCUUCUUCCAGGGUUCUGUGCCUCCUGUUGGAAUCAGCUCACUAACCAGCAGAAACAAACUGUUUAUCCUUCCAUGAUGUUGUAACUGCCUGGGCUUUCUAAUGCGUCUUCAGAUUUCAGUUUGUACUCAGAACAAGUGAGAAAAGUUUUACAGAAACUCCACGAAACAAAGCAGACAGGCUCUCCUGAAGCCAGGGAUUUAUGCUAAAGGCAGGCAUCACACAUUGAAUCAAGUAUGCCAUUACCCUCACUCCCAUGAACCUGUCUUUCAGCACAAUCCACGACAGCAAGAAGACAAAGGCUUUGUUACAACAGAACAGAGCGGAGACAUCAGUGGCCGUCAGCUUCUUUAAAGCCAGUAAAUAAAGGAAAGAAAACAGAAAUUAAUAUCCAGGUACUGAUGGUGACACCUCUUGUCUUAUCUGACUCAUCGCAGCCAUUUUCAGGUAAGAGCACAAACACUCAAUACCCAUCCUUCAUCUGUGAAGUACACCAAACCCAGUUCUGAAAUCUGCAGGCUUCAGGGACUGUAUGAGGUUCCUUGGAAAACAGCCCACA